CUUUCCCUGCGAGCGAGUGGCAGCCAGGGGAGUUAUGCGUUGCUGCAACGCGCCGCGGAGAGCAGCAGCGGGCCGGGCACAGCUGGCCCAACAAACGUUCUUCUGAGCUUCGCGUCCUUCGCUCCGAGUUCUGGCUCAGCUCCUGGAACUAGCUGGGUGCCAGCGGCGUUCCGGAGAGUCCAGCCAGCUCCAGGCGUCUGGGCGCUUCGAGUCUUUGAUCUUCAGAACCUGGCAGCCUCUGCUGCUCCACUCUCCUCCCGGAAACCACCCAAAAGAUUAACUUCUGAAGCCCUCAGGGCAGAGGGAGGAGAAAGGGUGGGAAAAGGCGCACCGACCAGCCAUUGGGAAGGCUGCAGAGGAGGGAGGCCAGGCUCCCGAGGGCAGCGUCACGCUACGCUCCGUACUCAGCGUCCCUUGUAGGGCCUGACACCUCUAUGAACCUGGGAUCAUGAAUGAAUUCUUGACUCUUAGAGGGUAUGGAGAAGCAAGAAGGAAGGAGAUGAGAUAGGCGAGGAGGGAAGCGGGGCUAUUCUUAAGGUUAAACUGAAAGCGAGCUUUUUAUUGAAUCUAAGAAUAUCUGAGAAGAAAAACGAAAAGAAAGAAAAGAAAAGCAAGCAGACACGGAGGGACCAGAUGGAACCAACUAAGCUGGCUUCUUGCAAGACUCAGGAGAUAAGAAAGUCUUUAUUGAUGAGGGAAAAAUAAGCUUUGCUGGUCAUGCGCAGGACGAGGUCAGUCGCUUCCUGUCUUGGGUCAGCUUCCAUUGCCUUGCUCCUCAUCCUGGCUCAGCUUACUAGAAGCAUCACAUUCCCAGGGCAGCUCUUCAUGACCUUGAAGCAGUGGCCCACUGUGGUGCAAGAAACGGAUGGCAUUUUGAUCUUGCCCCAUUCAGGUUGGGGAGUGAAGUGCAGGGGCCUUUUGCCCCCUUGCUAUGAAAGAACAGAUUCACUGACUACCAUACAUUGCUGUUCUGAAAGCAGGCUGCACAUGACCUCCAGGACCUUAGUGCUUUGCUUCCAGGCCAAGACUGCAGGAGUCAAAUCUGGCUGGCUUUGCCAAAGUACAGGUGUAUGUAGUUCAGGACACUUGAUUUACAUUUGGAGGGGCUGGGGCAGGUGGAGAGGGCAAGAAAGAAGUAAAGAAGAUGGUGAUGUCAGGGGUGUCUCUUCCCAAAUAUGUAAAUAUACCCAAUAAGUUUAAAUAAGAAAUCUAAUUGCUGCUUAAUUUUUGAUCAUGUACUUUAUCUGUAUAGCAAGCUUUGUUGUCCGAAGUUUUUUUUAUCGAUUUAAAUUGCUGCCUUUGAACAGCCAGGCAGGAGCAAAAUGUUAAAUUUUUAAACUUACUUUGUCUAAUUGUCAUUUGUUAGUCGGUAGUAGAUGUGAAAAUUUAAUUUAUGAAUCCAUGAUCAUCCAUACUACACCAAAGGCAGUCUCUGGAGCACUUAUGGCAAGGUGGCCCCUUUGUGUGCACUGGGUAUAGUUGUCUUCUUUAUCAUGUUAUUUUCAAUAUUAAAUACCUAAGCUGCCAUAUGAGUUUUUAUCUUUACAGUUUUCAAGGAAGAGCACAGAAAAAUUUCCCAUUUCAUAUUCAUAGUAUGUAAGUGGGUUCUAUUUUGUAAUGCUGAAAAUACUUAACAGUGCAUUGAACACUUGGAAGGGAAAUACUUUUUGGUGUUGAUUCUGUUAAUGACUCAGAAGAACAGUACACACCCUUGUGGAUUUUUUUUCCUCAGGUCUGAGUAGCAUUGCCUUAAAUCUUACCCAAUUAGAAAGUCACUUUAUUUAAUGUGAUGUUCAAAUUUUCCACCAAAAAAUCCUUCCAAACAAAAGACAUACUUCUUCUCCAAAAGUGUUCUGUGCUAUCGCAAAUACUCCUUGAGAUUUUAAAGGAAUUUCCAUGUUGUACCCUUUAGUGGCAGCCUUGACUGUUGGCAUAGCCAUCUGUUAUGUAGUGGUAGGCAACUUUCCUGCCAUGCAGGACUCCCUCCUGUGAAGUGUAUGUUUUAUACAGUGUGUGCCUCUUCAUGUGGCGAAUAAUUUCUUGUUAAUGUAUGUUUGAGGGGCUUUGAAUGUCAGCAUUAUUUACCCACAGAGUUAUUCAAGUUGUAAAAGGUUAUACAAUAAUUUAACAACUACUUUUUUUAUUCUGUCAGGUUACUGAGCUCACUUUACGAAAGUGGCUGUAAGUACUUAGCAUGACAAAUUCUGUAACUCAUCUGUUUCAGCAUGCAUUAGGGAAACUGAUAAUGCUUGAGUCCACUAAAUCUGCCUUCAGUACUUUAUCAAAGAGGAACCAAGCCUGCUGUGCUUAUAUCAGCAUCUCGAAGAUUCUUUGGUCCUCCAAUCAGUGUACACAUCUCCACACAAAGAAGAGAAAACCAUCUCUGCUCAGAUACCUAUCGGAUGGAGACACCUGAGUGAACUUUGAUGAAGUACAGUCUGAGUUACCAUCAUGCACGAGUAGAACUGCUCUUGGACCUGUCUUUCUGUCAUUUGCAGAACCUACAUGUUUGAUUGACUUGAACGUUGCAUCUUUUGAGGCUAUUUUGUAAGGUCUCUUGGCAUUUAUCCUAGUUGUCUGUUUGGCAAUGUGCUGUUGAAGUAAGAGACUUUUAAUCUUUAUGUAUAUUUUGUUUUCCCUUGAG
ensembl:lncRNA